UACGUAGGGUGCGAGCGUUGUCCGGAAUUAUUGGGCGUAAAGGGCUCGUAGGCGGUCUGUUGCGUCGGGAGUGAAAACUCAGGGCUUAACCCUGAGCCUGCUUCCGAUACGGGCAGACUAGAGGUAUGCAGGGGAGAACGGAAUUCCUGGUGUAGCGGUGAAAUGCGCAGAUAUCAGGAAGAACACCAAUGGCGAAGGCAGCUCUCUGGGACGGUACUGACACUGAGACGCGAAAGCGUGGGGAGCGAACAGG
rnacentral:rRNA from 1 species